AGAUUCAUGUACACAUACAUAUAUUUUAUUUGGGUAUAUUACCUCAGAAAAUCAACAACUGUCAUUUUCAAUCUUAUCUCAAGACCAACCUUCAGAAAUGCUAGUAAGUGCUACAGUAAUAUUAACAUUAUAUUGAGUUUAAAAGAAAUUAAUAUAUUUAAAAUCAGUCUAAGGUUUUAAUGCUGUAUACCCAUUUUCAUAAUCAUUCAAAAACAUCAGGCCGGGCACGGUGGCUCACGCCUGUAAUCCCAGCACUUCGGGAGGCCAAGGUGGGCGGAUCACCUGAGGUCGGGAGUUCAAGACCAGCCUUUGGAGAAACCCCAUCUCUACUAAAAAUACAAAAUUAGCCAGGCGUGGUGGCUCACACCUGUAAUCCUAGCACUUUGGGAGGCCGAAGCAGGUGGAUCACCUGAGGUCAGGAAUUCAAGACCAGCCUGGCCAACAUGGUGCAACUCCGUCUCUACUAAAAAUACAAAAUUAGCCGGGCAUGGUGGCGCAUGCCUGUAAUCCCAGCUACUCAAGAGGCUGAGGCAGGAGAACCACUUGAACCUGUGAGGCAGAGGUUGCAGUGAGCCAAGAUUGUGCCAUUGCACUGCAGCCUGGGCAACAAGAACAAAACUCCGUCUCAAAAAAAAAAAAAAAUCAUUAGUAGCGUUCUCUGUCAGUUUAUUGUGGAAAGAAAUCAAGUAAACAAAUUCUCAAAAAGAUUUGCUUCAAAUAAGAGAACACUGUUUAGGUGGAAGAUCUCCUUUUUCAGCACGGUCUUCCCAAGGUAACAAGGGGGUUGGGAUUGACUUGGGUGUGUCUGACAUAAUUGAGAAAGAAAUUUAGUCUGCAGGUUAAAAGUGAAGCUGAAAUCCAGGAGUUAAUGUUUUCCUCAAUGGCUUAUAAAAAAAUUGAAGAGUGACACAGUUUUCUCAUUUUAAAAGUGGCUAAUUUCUAAUGCUAAUACUGGUUAUGCAGAGUAUUAAAAUUUCUGAUAAAUGUUUUAGUAAAAACUAAUUCUCUCCAUGUCUGUGCAUAUAUUAUUUAAUAAUAUGAUCCUUAAAUGUAUGUGAUCCAACCAAUCUGUGGCAAAUCAUAACCUCCAAGACUAUAUACAGAUUAGAACUACGUACAGAUUAUGUAAAAUUUACUCUUGUGACACAUGAGUUAUUUUAAUUGAAUUUAAGUUGCCACCCCAAUUAAAAAUUAUUUCAUAUUUUAAAGAUAAGAUUUUAGAAAUAUCUUCUACAGAAUAUUAGUAUCUGACUAGGAAUGUAAGUCCAUUAUGUUUACUUAGAAUGUUUCUUUUUAAUAAGAAAUAGAUACAAAAUUGAAGUAUCCUUUAACUACCAUGCUUGGUAACAUUUCCCUUCCACCUCCUUUCUUCCUAGAGGUAACCACUCCACUUUUGGGAACUGAGUAUAUACAUAUCCUUUCAAUCCAUUCUUUAGUUUUACAUAAUUUAUCCAUAACCAAUUCUUAGUACUAGGGCUGGUUAGUGUUGAUUUUAUUCAAAUUCACAGAAGCAUCAUUACAAUAUGUUCAUCAUUUUUCUUCACUCUAAUUUUUUAAAAAUAUUUCUGUUAAUAUAUAGACUUAAUUUGUCACUUAACUGCUAGAGAGUACUCUACUAUGUUACUAUCACAUUUUAUUCAUCUAUUUCACAAGAGACAGCAUUUGUUUCCCAACUUCUGGCUACUAUAACUCAUGGUGCAAUGAACUAUACAGCUAUAGACCAGUACAUGACUCCCUGUGUUCAUGUUUCUUGGGUAGAUGCAUAUAUAUAGUAGUUCCCCCUUAUCCACAGCUUUGCUUUCCAUGGUUUCAGUUACCUGUAGUCACCACAGUUCAUAAAUAGUUGAGAACAGUACAAUAAGGUAUUCUGAGAGAAAGAUCAUAUUCACAUAACUUUUAUGAUUACAGUAUAUUGUUAUAAUUGUUCCAUAUUAUGUUUAUUAUUGUUUUAAAUCUCUUGCUGUGUCUAAUCUGUAAACUAAAUUUUAUCAUAGGUAUGUAUAUAUAAGAAAAAAACAUAGACAUAGAGUUUGGUCCUAUCUGGGUUUUAGGUAUCCACUGGGGGUCUUAGAGUCCAUCUCUUGCAGAAAAUAGGGGACUACCAUACUCAAGAGUGGAACUACCGGGUAUUCUGGAAUGUUUUAGAAGUUCUUUCCUGCCCUAAGGUUUUAAAAACAUCUUCUUAUAAAACUGUUAUAUUAUUAAGUAUUGCUUUUUGCAUUUUAGUCUUUAGUACUUUAAGAAUUCAUAAGAAAAAUAUUUUAUAUUAUGAUGGGAGAUAUUAUUUUUCCAUAUGAAGAGUCAAUUAAUUUUUAAGUAAUCCAUGAUUUCCCCACCAAUCUGGGAUACCGCCUCUAUCAAUUACCAAUUCCCCAUAUAUUCAUGCACACAUUUCUGAAUUCAAUAUUCUGUCUCAGUCUCAGUUUUAUGACUGCUUCAACAACAAAUAAUUUUGAUGAUUCUAGUUUUACAAUUCAUAUAUGUAGCAAAACAUCACAAAAAUGAUAAUUUUGUCUCUUAAUUUCAAAUCCUCAUACAUCUCAUAUCUAUUUCUUAAUGCAUCUGUAGGCCUUCCAGGAACACAUUAAGUAGUGUCCAUGACUAGAUCCUAACUUUAAUGAGUAUACUCCUAGAAGUACAGCAUUGAUAAUGCUUGUUGUGGGAGUUUUGGGGGUACGGGUUUUCUUUACACUAUAAUACUUAUUAAACAUCAUAGUAUUUAAGUUUUGAAUUGCUGCUGAAGGACUUCCCACAUUCAUGUCACUUUAAUGUAAAAUGAAUUUUCCAAUACACUAUUAAGUGUAAAAUCUGCUGAACGUUUUGCUAAAUCCAAGGCAUUCAUAGAGAACUUUAAUGAGUAUGAAUUCUCUGGUGUCUAAUGUGAUGUGACUUUUGGCUGAAAGCUUUCCCACAUUCACUACACUGAUAAGGUUUUUCACCAGUAUGGAUUCUCAUGUGCAGAGCAAGGGUUGAGAACUGAGAAAAGGCUUUCCCACAUUCAUUACAACCAUAGGGUUUCUCACCUGUAUGGCUUCUCAUAUGCACAGUAAGAGAUGAGCUUUGACAGAAGGCUUUCCCACAGACCUUACACUCAUAAGGCUUAUCACCUGUAUGAAUUCUCACAUGUACAAUAAGUGAUGUGAUUCGAGAGAAGGCUUUUCCACAUUUAUUACAUUCAUAGGGUUUCUCUCCUGUAUGAAUAUUGUGAUGUUUAAUGAGGUAUUGCUUCUGCCUGAAGAUUGUUCCACAUUCAUUACAUUUGUAGGGUUUCUCUCCAAUAUGAAUUUUCUCAUGCUCUGUGAGAUUUGACUUGCCACUGAAGGCUUUCCCACAUUCCUUACACGUAUAAGGUUUCUCUCCUGUGUGACUUCUCUGGUGUCUAAUGAGGCUUGACUUCUGAAUGAAAGCUUUCCCACACCCUUUACAUUCAUAAGGUUUCUCUCCAGUAUGGAUUCUCUGAUGUAUAAUGAGGUUUUCCUUCUGGCUAAAAGCUUUUCCACACUCACUACAUUUAAAGGGCUUCUUUCCAGUAU
rnacentral:lncRNA from 1 species